GGCCCACACCUAGCCGAAUGUAACACGGCCCACACCUAGCCGAAUGUAACACGGCCCACACCUAGCCGAAUGUAACACAGCCCACACCUAGCCGAAUGUAACAUAGCCCACACCUAGCUGAAUGUAACAUGGCCCACACCUCAAACCUAGCCGAUUGCUUUUGGGGUGACUCAGAUGCAUGGAGGGAGGGUUUGACGUGAAGGAUUUGACAGUGUUGGUGGUAGUGGUGUGAAGGCUCACCUCCCUCACACCAUCUCCACUGCCCUCAGCGCCCAGCACAUUAUUGCUGUCUGUCCUUCAGUCUGAUUGGACCUCAAAGCACCCUCCCAUGGCCAGCAGGGGUCUCCGGGCAGAGAUGCAGGGGCUUGUUAGAAGGUCACUGACUCACUGCUCAUUGGAUGACAGCUGGUCUCAGAACAGAACAAUAACCAGGGGGAAAGGAGGGAGAUGGAGAGGGAGGGAGAAAUGGCUGGAGGACGAGACGACAGAACAACAGCUCUGAUAUCACUAAACCGCAGUGCGUGGCUGGUCUUAAAGCAGAACAGAGCAGCUGUUAAUAUUGCUCAAUCUAUCUGUGAGGAGCUUAUAAAGUCACAUAAGUUCACACAGUGAGUGUUUGAGAGGAUGUUCUGGAUGCUAAGGCAUGUUCCAUGCGACCCCAAACUGUUCACACACCUCUUGUUGGCGGAGAGAACUUGUUGCAGUUUUAAAGCUAAGUUCCCACAAUUCUACACAUUUUUGCAUGGGGCAAUUAUUUUUUUGUUUUGUUUUAAAGCACAUUUCCUGCAAUUCUACACAUUCUUCCAUGUCUUGUGUGUUUACACGAUACCAGGGGGUUAAAGGCUUGACUUAUAAGAAUGACUAGUCUGGACAAAGCUUUAAUUUUCCAAGACUGGUGAAAACAAUGCACACUGAAAACCAAGAAAUUAGCUUCUCAAAUGAUGUUAAUUUAUGACAUACUGUAAUUAAGACAUGAUUAUGACUUACACAAGAAUCUCCUCACCAGGAAUCUAAGGAAAAGAGAGAAUGUCCAGGCUACCAUAAACAUCAAAGUCUCAUCUGGUUCAGACAACUAAAACACAUCAGUAAUAUAUAGGAACAUAUCUACAAUCUAUACAGUAGAAAUCCAUGUGUUAUCUGGUGUAGACAACUAAAACACAUCAGUAAUAUAUAGGAACAUAUCUACAAUCUAUACAGUAGAAAUCCAUGUGUUAUCUGGUGUAGACAGCUGAACAUAUCAGUAAUAUAUAGGAACAUAUCUACAAUCUAUACAGUAGAAAUCCAUGUGUUAUCUGGUGUAGACAGCUGAACAUAUCAGUAAUAUAUAGGAACAUAUCUACAAUCUAUACAGUAGAAAUCCAUGUGUUAUCUGGUGUAGACAGCUGAACAUAUCAGUAAUAUAUAGGAACAUAUCUACAAUCUAUACAGUAGAAAUCCAUGUGUUAUCUGGUGUAGACAGCUGGACAUAUCAGUAAUAUAUAGGAACAUAUCUACAAUCUAUACAGUAGAAAUCCAUGUGUUAUCUGGUGUAGACAGCUGAACAUAUCAGUAAUAUAGAGGAACAUAUCUACAAUCUAUACAGUAGAAAUCCAUGUGUUAUCUGGUAUAGACAGCUGAACAUAUCAGUAAUAUAGAGGAACAUAUCUACAAUCUAUACAGUACAUACAUGUAUGUCUACUACCCCCCUGUUGUAACCUCAAACACCAUAACCAGCUAUGGAUGCUGGAAGGUCAGUAGUUUCUCUAAGCUAUCACAGACACAUUCAGAAAACACACGUGGCCAGUGAUUUUAAUGCAGGGAAACUGAAAUCCGUUUUACCUCAUUUUGACCAGCAUGUCACCUGUGCAACUAGAGGCGAAAAACUCUAGAUCACUUUACUCCACAGACAGAAACACAAAAACUCUAGAUCACUUUACUCCACAGACAGAAACACAAAAACUCUAGAUCACUUUACUCCACAGGCAGAAACACAAAAACUCUAGAUCACUUUACUCCACACACAGAAACACAAACUCUAGAUCACCUUUACUCCACAGACAGAAAUGUAUACAAGGCACUUCCUCACCCUCCCUUUGGCAAAUUAGACCAUAACUCCAGCUUACAAGAAAAAGAUUCUAAUAGGAAGAACAGUGACACGCUCAAUACAGAAGUGGUCCGGUGAAGCGGAUGCUAAGCUACAGGACUGUUUCGCUAGCACAGACUGGAGCCGUAAGUAAGCAUUUCACUGUUAGUCUACACCUGUUGUUUACGAAGCAUGUGACACAUACAAUUUGAUUUGAUCUAGCUAUAUCUGAACAGAGGGGGUCUUUAUACCUAUAUAUUUCAACGGGGGGGACAUUAGAAGUCUGUACCAGUCUCUUUAGCUAACAUUUCACUCCUUGCCAUUGCCAAUGAGACUGGCCUUUCGGCAAUCUCAACGUUCAAUAUGCGCUGGAUUUACCUCGGAGUUGCUCAUUGGUUGUUUGCAAUAACAUUCAUAUUUUCAGGACAACAUGUGGAGCCUCGAAAAUAGAAUUAGAAUUUAUAACAAAUUCAAAAAAACAAACAUUUAGCUUUUAGCUAGGCAAGUUGUUGUAUUUUGAGGCUUAAAAAUGUGUUUUGUGUUUGGAAUAGCAGUAUGUAUUUUGUUAGAGAAUUUUAGAUAUGAGCUAGUAACUUUUGAUGCACUGGUUUCCUCUGGAAAAUUUGGGUUUUUUGCUGAGCAACCGGAUACCAAGGUGUUCUGGGGAGAAAAAAAAGGAUUGAGUUGUGGUUGGAGGAUAACUGUGAGGGUGAUCAAAUCAGGAUAAAAUCCUCUGUUCUCCUCAAGCUCAUUAAUGAUAAAAUGCUCAUAUUUCAAGAUGGCAGUAAAGCCAUUCACUUUGGCACAAUGACAUGGAGUAGGAGGAGUGAAUUAGCUAAAGAGACUGGUACCCAGACUAGGACAUUCUAACUAUAUUUGAACAGAUGAGAUGACUAGGAGCAGAACAAAGUGUCUCCAUCCUCGGUUUCUAGCUAGUCAUGUUUGGCAUAGGAUAUAGAGGACAACGAGUGGAAUGUUAGCACAAACAGACUGGUACCCAGGCUAGUUUCUAGAUACCUGGAGCAACAUUCCACAAAUUUGUUCAGAGAAGAGGUGUGUUGGUAAAUUCAAUAUGGAGUGCCAGAGUGGCACACAGACGAGAGUGCUCUGAAAUCCUCUCUGUUAAAUAAUUGGUUGCCGUAGCAACAUCAAAAUGUUUCUUCUAUUUAAAAAAAACAAAACCGCUGUAUCACGGAGGCAUGAACAACACAUUUACAUUUAAGUCAUUUAGCAGACGCUCUUAUCCAGAGCGACUUACAAAAUGGUGCAUUCACCUUAUGAUAUCCAGUGGAACAACCACUUUACAAUAGUGCAUCUAAAUAUUUUAAGGGGGGGGGUUAGAAGGAUUACUUUAUCCUAGCCUAGGUAUUCCUUAAAGAGGUGGGGUUUCAGGUGUCUCCGGAAGGUGGUGAUUGACUCCGCUGUCCUGGCGUCGUGAGGGAGCUUGUUCCACCAUUGGG
rnacentral:lncRNA from 1 species